AGUCUGUGGUGGUGGAUGCUCUAUCAUAUCAGGAGUCUGUGGUGGUGGAUGCUCUAUCAUAUCAGGAGUCUGUGGUGGUGGAUGCUCUAUCAUAUCAGGAGUCUGUGGUGGUGGAUGCUCUACCAUAUCAGGAGUCUGACUAAGUACCUGUGCCUUAACCUCUCUGUGUCUAGUUCAAAAGACCUGAAAGACCUGCUGUAAGCAGGCUCAGGUUAAGAUUUUAAAAGAACCUUUAAGGUGAGCAACACAACACAAUAUAAAUCUUUAUUAUUAUUGUACGCUGUACAGUUAGAAUAAACUUGCAUGCUCAGAAGCCACGUAUGAUUACAUCGCCUACAGGUUGCCUGAUGCUGAACUUCAGGCAGCUGCGUGUGACCGUGGAACAGCCGCCUGUGGGAGGUCGUUGUGUUGCUGUUAGGAGUUUGGGUCGGAGUCCUGGAUCUAUGGGAAUUCUUUCCUUGAAGCUCCUGAUCACAUAACUAUACUGGCAGUCGGCUUCUGCUCACCCGCUUGCAACUCAUGCUGUCAUUCUCCCAGACUUCUGGUUGUUUCUCCACCAUUCUGCUGUCUCCUGUCUGCGCUACGACUUCAGACCGGCCUUCUGAUCUUUAAACACUAAAACCUGUGGCUCCAUCUCUGUGGCGUUUCUCAUUCUCUAAGCUUCUGGUUCCUGAUCUCCAGCUGUUACCUCUUCAGUCAUCCAUCAAACACUUUAAUAAACUGUUUUUAGCUCA